rnacentral:rRNA from 1 species
UACGUAGGGUGCAAGCGUUGUCCGGAAUCAUUGGGCGUAAAGCGCGCGUAGGCGGCCCGAUAAGUCCGCUGUAAAAAGUCAACGGGCUCAACUGUUGAAGCCGGUGGAUACUGUCGGGCUAGAGUACGGAAGAGGCAAGUGGAAUUCCUGGUGUAGCGGUGGAAUGCGCAGAUAUCAGGAGGAACACCGGUGGCGAAGGCGGGUCUCUGGGCCGAUACUGACACUGAGAAGCGAAAGCGUGGGGAGCGAACAGG